rfam:Gossypium hirsutum cultivar TM-1 unplaced genomic scaffold scaffold1171.1, whole genome shotgun sequence
CAUUGUGGUCCAGUGGUUAGGAUAUCUGGCUUUCACCCAGGAGACCCAGCUUCCAUUCUUCUGGCAAUG